GAUGAAGAACGCAGCGAAAUGCGAUGCUUGGUGUGAAUUGCAGAAUCCCGUGAACCAUCGAGUCUUUGAACGCAAGUUGCGCCCGAAGCCAUUAGGCCGAGGGCACGCCUGCCUGGGCGUCACACGUCGUUGCCCCCCCAUCUACUCCUUCGGGAUUGCGGGGGGCGGAUGAUGGCCUCCCGUGCGCCUCGCCGCGCGGUUGGCAUAAAUGCCAAGUCCUCGGCGACGCACGCCACGACAAUCGGUGGUUGCGAAACCUCGGUUGCCCGUCGUGUGCGGUCGUCGCGCAUCGAGGGCUCGAAAAAAUUGCCGGGUUCCGGCUCGGCUUUCAACGCGACCCCAGGUCAGGCGGGGUUACCCGCUGAAUUUAAGCAUAUCAAUAAGCGGAGGA
rnacentral:misc_RNA from 1 species